rnacentral:rRNA from 1 species
GCAGAGCAUCCUACGGGAGGCAGCAGUGGGGAAUAUUGCACAAUGGGCGCAAGCCUGAUGCAGCCAUGCCGCGUGUAUGAAGAAGGCCUUCGGGUUGUAAAGUACUUUCAGCAGUGAGGAAGGUGGGUAUGUUAAUAGCAUAUUCAUUUGACGUUAGCUGCAGAAGAAGCACCGGCUAACUCCGUGCCAGCAGCCGCGGUAAUACGGAGGGUGCGAGCGUUAAUCGGAAUUACUGGGCGUAAAAGCGCAUGCAGGUGGUUUGUUAAGUCAGAUGUGAAAAGCCCCGGGGCUCAACCUCGGAAUUGCAUUUUGAAACUGGCAAACUAGAGUACUGUAGAGGGGGUAGAAUUUCAGGUGUAGCGGUGAAAUGCGUAGAGAUCUGAAGGAAUACCGGUGGCGAAGGCGGCCCCCUGGACAGAUACUGACACUCAGAUGCGAAAGCGUGGGGAGCAAACAGGAUUAGAUACCCUGGUAG